UACGUAGGGUGCAAGCGUUGUCCGGAAUUAUUGGGCGUAAAGAGCUCGUAGGCGGUUUGUCGCGUCGUCCGUGAAAACUUGGGGCUCAACCCCAAGCUUGCGGGCGAUACGGGCAGACUUGAGUACUGCAGGGGAGACUGGAAUUCCUGGUGUAGCGGUGAAAUGCGCAGAUAUCAGGAGGAACACCGGUGGCGAAGGCGGGUCUCUGGGCAGUAACUGACGCUGAGGAGCGAAAGCGUGGGUAGCAAACAGG
rnacentral:rRNA from 1 species